GCCGGUGUGAUGGAAUUGGUAGACGUGACGGACUCAAAAUCCGUUGGUAGCGAUACCGUGUGGGUUCGAGUCCCACCACCGGCACCA
rnacentral:tRNA from 9 species